rnacentral:rRNA from 1 species
AUGCGGAGGAUCCGAGCGUUAUCCGGAUUUAUUGGGUUUAAAGGGUGCGCAGGCGGGAGAUUAAGUCGGCGGUGAAAUUUUGCAGCUCAACUGUAAAAGUGCCAUCGAAACUGGUUUCCUUGAGUGUAGAUGAAGUAGGCGGAAUUUGUGGUGUAGCGGUGAAAUGCAUAGAUAUCACGAGGAACUCCGAUUGCGCAGGCAGCUUACUAAACUACUACUGACGCUCAGGCACGAAGGCGUGGGGAUCAAACAGGAUUAGAUACCCUGCUAGUCCACGCAGUAAACGAUGAUUACUAGCUGUUUGCGAUACAAUGUAAGCGGCUGAGCGAAAGCGUUAAGUAAUCCACCUGGGGAGUACGUUCGCAAGAAUGAAACUCAAAUGAAUUGACGGGG